GCGUGCGCCGAGUCACGCUUCGGGCUGCGACGCAACCGCCGCCGGCCGGCGAGUUGCCGCCAACCGCCUUAACGGCCCAAACAAUGUUAGUGGCUUUCAGUGUGGCGGCGCGUUCACGUUAUCGUCUUCCAGUCCCUUUCGUCAUUUGAUACGGAGUAGGUGGUCUCCAUAGUGACUUUUAAAUUUCACAUUUCUUUGAUAACCUUUGUGAGGUAAAAGAAUCUCCGGCCUUUUACCCUUGACAAAACGAAGGGGGAAAGAGSAGUUAGCACUUGUGUAAAAAUGACGGCAGUUUUGUUCCCAAAUGUAAAAGGGCUGCGAGUCGGAAGUGUAUUUGCUUUGGUUACUACGAAGGCAGGUGCACGAACCGCUUGGGAGCCGGUCCUAGGUAUUAAGUUGCACAAAUUUGAAAAGUGUCUACCAGAGAACCCUCCAAAAAUCGUCGCUGUUCACCAAGGGGCGGUUGUUGCUCAGAAAUUCAUUAAGAAACUCAUCACUUGGGCAUUUGCCUAAGAUUCUUUGAACAAGAAGGAUGAGGAAAUCUUUCAAAGAAUCAAAGCUAUUGAGGAAGGAGGGAAGGGAAAGAGAAAUUAGUGGGGAAGGGAACUAACCAAACUAUAUUGUUAUUCAGUGUGCGUUACAAAUAUGUAGCAACAAAUUCCAGUAUUAUA